rnacentral:lncRNA from 1 species
UGUAUACAUUUUAACUAUAUAAUAGUAGAUGCAAAACUGGGCCAAUUUGCAUAAAAAAUCCACAAGUUUUAAACUUUUGCAAAAUUGGGCUGUCAUUUCCGAUUUUGUAGAUUCAUGUCGGAUUUUUAACUUACCAAAAUACCCUUAUUCAUUUCUCUCUCUUCUUUUUUUUCCUUCAUUUUUUUUCUCUCCGAUCCUCAUUGCCUCCUCCACUGCCUUCGCGACCUCGGCGACAAUAACGAGGGCGGCACCAUCUCCUU